rnacentral:rRNA from 1 species
GAUGAACGCUGGCGGCGUGCCUAAUACAUGCAAGUCGAGCGAACAGACGAGGAGCUUGCUCCUUCGACGUUAGCGGCGGACGGGUGAGUAACACGUAGGUAACCUACCUAUAAGACUGGGAUAACUUCGGGAAACCGGAGCUAAUACCGGAUAAUAUUUCGAACCGCAUGGUUCGAUAGUGAAAGAUGGCUUUGCUAUCACUUAUAGAUGGACCUGCGCCGUAUUAGCUAGUUGGUAAGGUAACGGCUUACCAAGGCAACGAUACGUAGCCGGCCUGAGAGGGUGAUCGGCCACACUGGAACUGAGACACGGUCCAGACUCCUACGGGAGGCAGCAGUAGGGAAUCUUCCGCAAUGGGCGAAAGCCUGACGGAGCAACGCCGCGUGAGUGAUGAAGGUCUUCGGAUCGUAAAACUCUGUUAUUAGGGAAGAACAAACGUGUAAGUAACUGUGCACGUCUUGACGGUACCUAAUCAGAAAGCCACGGCUAACUACGUG